CCCAGCAAGGGUGCUGUUGACUACGGAUGAUUUGUUUAAAACCAUCUAAUGUCUGUUUAUUGCAUUGGCUAAGACCCCUGUAAGGAAUACAGAUGCUCAGCAGCUGGUCUGAGUCUUACUGAAGUACCUUUCAGACACAUCAGAGCUCCUCUAGUCUGGGGUCACACACCCCAAGCUCCUGGCUGCAGUGACAAUUUUUUCUUACAUGAAGAGUGCCGGUAUCUCCCCAAACCUUACCUGCAGGAUGUAACAGCACCCAUUGCUCGGCCUGGCUGCAGGCUGCACGGGCCAUCAGCUGUGCUCACGUUAGUGAAUACUUGAUGUUGUCUGGUGUCUGAAAAGAUAGAAACGGUGGAACUCCGCAGUGGCAGAGUUUUUCUGAACAGAGGAGUGCUCUACUCGCUCUGUAUUAAUCGUGGGAUGGGAACAAAAAAAAAGAGUGAUUAUCUGAACACAAACAGAAGCAGCUCUGUACCAGGUGGUCGUGGGUUAUUGGGGACAGUAAUGGGGAGGACUGAAAAAAAGAUGAAUUGGAGAGACGACAAGAAGAAGGACAGGAUGCACGAACUGCAGGAAAGCUGACAGGUACUGAAUUACAUUUUUUUUCUUUGUGAGUGUUGUAUGGGGACUUUCUGCUGUGGCUGGGUGGAGAUAGAGUUGCUUAUAUUUGGAGACCAGCUUUUUCAUUUUUCAAAUGUUCAAGAGAUACACAUGUACAUUAAUUCAUAUAUGUGUCUUUAGUUUAAAUGUUAAAAGGCUUUGGGAUACAGAUAGACUAACAGGCAAUGAACUUUUCCGGUUCCUGGGAGUGAUUUGCAAUUCAUUCUGGUGUGGCUGGCUGCAGAUGCUAAUCUUAUUCACAGCAAAUUAAAGAAAUCUCUCCCAUCCCCCCCUUCCCCUCACAACCUUCCAUUUUUGUAGAUUAUUAUUUGGCAUCAUUGUACCUGGCUGCUUGUUUUUAAAUUUUGUGUCUGUCCAGGAGAGAUUGAAGUGGUUUGCUUUGCUCUUUCCCCAAAGGGCACGAGACAGUGCUGCGAUCUUAAAUCCCGCCUUGUUCCUGGCGUGUCUGGAUCUGGCAGAAGGGAUAGCUAACCCUUAUUUUAAGAUUGCAAUCCAGCCCUGAGUCACAGAAGAAAGAGCAUGUUUUGGCUUGUUGCAUCUUGUCAUGGUCACGUCAUGGUUGGUACCCGCUGCCCCCGGGCCAGUGCGGGGUCCGGGCUGCGCUGCGGUGGGCGAGCCUGGCUGCUGGGGGAGGUUAUUCUCAUCCAGGUUUGUGGAUCGCGAAUUCCCCGUGAGCCUGAGAACCUGCUUUGCUGCUGCUCUUGCUUCUUGGAUGAGGGGAGGACUGCAGGUUCACAGGCAAAACCUGUAAUGGAAAACAGCUUCUGAAAAAAAAACCAAAAAAAAAAUCAAGCUGAUAAAGUACCCAAAUCCUGUGCUAGUAUCCCUGGUGCAGGUGUUGCUGGGGGGAAUCGGGUCCAAGCCCUCGCCUGGGGAAGUGGGAACAGCAGAAGAGGGAAGGUCUCUGGCUCCUCGGUUCUCAUCAGCUUCUGCCUUUUGUUUUCCUAAACUCUCGUUCCCAGACAGAACAGUGGCUGGCUGCGCAUCUGACCUGUGCUGUCAUCUAAGGAAACUGGAGUGUGGGGAGACUUUCUGGAGAGUGUUGAGGUGGCUUUGCUUUGCUGGGAUCUAAUGAGAUGCCGUUCGUUACCGCAUCUAAGAUGCCAACUCAAUUUCUUCCUGUGGAAAACACAAGUUACUGUGAAGAAAGAUCCUGAGCACAUUAGACACGGCAGCCACUUGGCAGAUCACAGCACGAGGUUUCUGCUCCCUUUGUGGAUCGAGGUUUAAACCAGGUCGUAGUCGUUGUUGACUCGGAGCUGCGAAACAGCGGUUGCCCACAGAUGACGCAUGUCUGGUUUUGCCUGCAAAUGCUGUUUACUUGGCAUGCAGGGCACGGGUUUGGUGGGUACCGCUGGUGGUACAGACGAACCUUGCCAGGAAGGGUCAGAGCAUUAAGGACACAGGGCUGGUACCCUUUGCAGCUGCCUGUGUCCACCCCACACUGCCCUGAGGUGGCUGGGAAGCAUCGCUUGUGGGUGUUGGGAGGGCAAGGGAGGGGAGCAGUCCCCCUUCCUAUAACUGUGUUGACCAUGUUGAAACGCUUUUUAUAAACUCAGUUCUUCCUAAAGAAAAUGCCUUUGUGCUCAAUGGCUAGAUUAAGAUGUCAGGCUUUUGCCUCUAAUGGUAUUACAGUGAGCACCUGU